GAUGAACGCUAGCUACAGGCUUAACACAUGCAAGUCGAGGGGAAACGCCAUCGAAAGCUUGCUUUUGAUGGGCGUCGACCGGCGCACGGGUGAGUAACGCGUAUCCAACCUGCCCAUCACUUGGGAAUAACCUUGCGAAAGUAAGACUAAUACCCAAUGAUAUCCCACGAAGGCAUCGGAAUGGGAUUAAAGAUUUAUCGGUGAUGGAUGGGGAUGCGUCUGAUUAGCUUGUUGGCGGGGUAACGGCCCACCAAGGCAACGAUCAGUAGGGGUUCUGAGAGGAAGGUCCCCCACAUUGGAACUGGGACACGGUCCAAACUCCUACGGGAGGCAGCAGUGAGGAAUAUUGGUCAAUGGGCGAGAGCCUGAACCAGCCAAGUAGCGUGCAGGAAGACGGCCCUAUGGGUUGUAAACUGCUUUUAUAAGGGAAUAAAGUGGGUCACGUGUGACUUUUUGCAUGUACCUUAUGAAUAAGGACCGGCUAAUUCCGUG
rnacentral:rRNA from 1 species